GUAGCCUAGCGGUUAGAGGAGGAACAGGUAGCCUAGGGGUUAGAGGAGGAACAGGUAGCCUAGCGGUUAGAGGAGGAACAGGUAGCCUAGCUGUUAGAGGAGGAACAGGUAGACUAGCGGUUAGAGGAGGAACAGGUAGCCUAGCGGUUAGAGGAGGAACAGGUAGCCUAGCGGUUAGAGGAGGAACAGGUAGCCUAGCGGUUAGAGGAGGAACAGGUAGCCUAGCGGUUAGAGGAGGAACAGGUAGCCUAGCGGUUAGAGGAGGAACAGGUAGCCUAGCGGUUAGAGGAGGAACAGGUAGCCUAGCGGUUAGAGGAGGAACAGGUAGCCUAGCGGUUAGAGGAGGAACAGGUAGCCUAGCGG